CUCUUUUCUAGCUUUCUAUAUCUCUGUUCUUUGUUUUUCUUGCGUCGUUUCUUGUUUUUGUGAAAUCAAUCAGCGAAAAUGAGAGAGUGCAUUUCCAUUCACAUUGGUCAGGCUGGUAUCCAGGUUGGCAAUGCCUGCUGGGAGCUUUACUGCCUUGAGCAUGGCAUCCAGCCUGAUGGCCAGAUGCCAGGUGACAAGACCGUUGGCGGAGGUGACGAUGCCUUCAACACCUUUUUCAGUGAAACUGGUGCAGGGAAGCACGUGCCUCGCGCUGUCUUUGUAGAUCUUGAGCCCACUGUCAUUGAUGAAGUUAGGACUGGAACUUACCGCCAGCUCUUCCACCCUGAGCAGCUCAUCAGUGGCAAAGAAGAUGCUGCUAACAACUUUGCCCGUGGCCAUUACACCAUUGGCAAGGAAAUUGUUGAUCUAUGCUUGGACCGCAUCAGAAAGCUUGCUGA
rnacentral:misc_RNA from 1 species